UCCGGAUUUACUGGGUGUAAAGGGAGCGUAGACGGUAAUGCAAGUCUGGAGUGAAAGGCGGGGGCCCAACCCCCGGACUGCUUUGGAAACUGUGUGACUGGAGUGCAGGAGAGGUAAGUGGAAUUCCUAGUGUAGCGGUGAAAUGCGUAGAUAUUAGGAGGAACACCAGUGGCGAAGGCGGCUUACUGGACUGUAACUGACGUUGAGGCUCGAAAGCGUGGGGAGCAAACAGGA
rnacentral:rRNA from 1 species